rnacentral:lncRNA from 1 species
UGAUCAAAUAAUCUAACAAGUAAAUAUGAAAUAUGAGAGCAUUAACAAGGGAAUCUGCGAGGUUUCAGAAGGCGAAGGAGAUGUGCAGCCGUCCUGUGAGCAAUGGGAAGAACGGAUGCGUUGAUAGUCCAGUCUUCCUGCCAGAGAGAGUCACGGCUGACUUCCUCAGCUAUUCACCCAGGAAGUCAGCACAACUCUCCAAGAUGUCACACCUUGUCACCAGCUACCCCCACCUAGGUGAGAACACCCUACAGGCAUUUGUUCCCUUUGAGUAAAUGCCACUCUCCAAAAAGCCUUUCUACAGGAUAAAACAUGAUUCGCACAAAGUCCAUUCCUGAUUCCACGAUGGGCACAAAGAAC